CACGCCGUAAACGAUGAGUACUAGCUGUCGGAGGUUACCCCCUUCGGUGGCGCAGCUAACGCAUUAAGUACUCCGCCUGGGGAGUACGCUCGCAAGAGUGAAACUCAAAGGAAUUGACGG
rnacentral:rRNA from 1 species